UUCCAUUCAAAUUCAAAACCUAAAAACGACUGUGCAAUUUAAGCCUCUUAUACUUCUUUACUCGGUUCCUAACCUAAUAAUUCUUCACACAAAGAAAAACCCCUUCAACGAUGAUAACAAUACGACCAGUAGAUUUUAAAAUUGAGCAUAUGAAAAGACAAAAAAGGAGAAAUGCCUUGAUGUAAUAAGCUACUGAUCUCUCACCAGCUCAGCUAAACUCAAAUUGGGGUAGAGGCACAACAUCUUAUUUUUAGAUAACCAAUACGCAUUAGGUUUAAUAAACGGACUGUUCCUUGAUUAUUCAUCCCCUUGAUUGAGCGUCAUAUGGUUUCCUUUUGCUCCAAUUCCACAAAUCCCUUUCAAUUUCCUUUCUUUACAUUUCUAUCCGAGCCAAACAUAACAAACAAAACAUUAAAUUACAACUACUUCCCUUCCCAUCCAAAUACCCUAGCAAAAUUCACAGCCCAAAAGGGAGAUUUUAAAGAUCAAUUAUCAAAUUUGGAGGGAAAAAAUUACUGAUCCAUGAUUGAAAUUGAGGGGAAUUGUGAAAGAAAAAACUAACAGAACAAAGACGACUUUCUUUGCUUCGAAAAUUAUUUAUGAUACCUUCAAUUUAGGCUUUCUCCGUUGAAAAUUCGCAAAAGAAAG
rnacentral:lncRNA from 1 species